GCUUCCCUACUGUCGGAGCGCCGAGUUCCUCCCUAGCGCCGGCCAGAGCUCUACCGGUGCCGCUGCCCGCGCGGCCAGGCCGCCUCGAGCCAUUGCGGGACAAGAUACGACCACCAGCAGGUGCGCACUAGUCCGGGCAAGCUCCCCCGCUGCUCCACUGCCGCCGAUGAGCACCCCAACGCCGAAACUGCGAUCUCCGA
rnacentral:lncRNA from 1 species